UCACCAGACUCCUACGGGAGGCAGCAGUGAGGAAUAUUGGUCAAUGGGCGAGAGCCUGAACCAGCCAAGUCGCGUGAGGGAUGACUGCCCUAUGGGUUGUAAACCUCUUUUGUAUGGGGGGAAUAAGCUUUACGAGUAGAGUGAUGACAGUACCAUACGAAUAAGCAUCGGCUAACUCCGUGCCAGCAGCCGCGGUAAUACGGAGGAUGCGAGCGUUAUCCGGAUUUAUUGGGUUUAAAGGGUGCGUAGGCGGGAUGCCAGGUCAGCGGGAAAAAUGCGGUGCUCAACGCCGUCGAGCCGUUGAAACUGGCGUUCUUGAGUGGGCGAGAAGUAUGCGGAAUGCGUGGUGUAGCGGUGAAAUGCAUAGAUAUCACGCAGAACUCCGAUUGCGAAGGCAGCAUACCGGCGCCCUACUGACGCUGAGGCACGAAAGCGUGGGUAUCGAACAGGAUUAGAUACCCCAGUA
rnacentral:rRNA from 1 species